rnacentral:rRNA from 1 species
AGAAUCAACGCUGGCGGCGUGCCUAACACAUGCAAGUCGAACGCGAAAGCCCCGCAAGGGGUAAGUAGAGUGGCAAACGGGUGAGUAACUCGUGGGUGAUCUGCCUCAGAGUGGGGGAUAACGACCCGAAAGGGUCGCUAAUACCGCAUAACAUCCUGCCUUUGGAUAGGUGGAGAUCAAAGUUGGGGAUCCGCAAGGACCUGACGCUUGGAGAGGAGCCCGCGGCCGAUUAGCUAGUUGGUGAAGUAACGGCUCACCAAGGCAACGAUCGGUAUCCGGCUGAGAGGGCGGACGACACACUGGGACUGAGACACGGCCCAGACUCCGUACGGGAGCAGCUAGGUGGGGAAUUGUCG